AGCAGCCGCGGUAAUUCCAGCUCCAAUAGCGUAUAUUAAAGUUGUUGCAGUUAAAAAGCUCGUAGUUGAAUUUCGGGAUUAGUACGCUGGUCAUGCCUUUGGUAUGUACUGGUGUUACUGGUUCCUACCUUCUGAAGAACCGUCAUGUCAUUAAUUUGGUGUGGCGGGGAAUCAGGACUGUUACUUUGAAAAAUUAGAGUGUUUAAAGCAGGCUCGCGCUUGAAUACAUUAGCAUGGAAUAAUGAAAUAGGACGUUUGACCCUAUUUUGUUGGUUUCUAGGAUCGACGUAAUGAUUAAUAGGGAUAGUUGGGGGCAUUAGUAUUCAAUUGUCAGAGGUGAAAUUCUUGGAUUUAUUGAAGACUAACUACUGCGAAAGCAUUUGCCAAGGAUGUUUUCAUUAAUCAAGAACGAAAGUUAGGGGAUCGAAGACGAUCAGAUACCGUCGUAGUCUUAACCAUAAACUAUGCCGACUAGGGAUCGGAUGAUGUUAUUUUUAAUGACUCAUUCGGCGCCUUACGG
rnacentral:rRNA from 1 species